ensembl:lncRNA
AUGGGCCCUGCCCUCAUGUUCUCACCUUGCAAAGGCCUCAGCUCCAAAUCACAUUAGGGCUUCAACAUUUAAAUUCUGAGAGAGCACAAACAUUCAGGCCACACAGCAGGGGGCAUCUAGGGCCCCCCCCCCACUUCUGCCAUUAAGUCAGAGAUGUCCUGAUCUUUUGUUUGUUUGCUUUAUUUUGUUUUCUGAGGCAGGGUUUCUCUGUGUAGCCCUGGCUGUCCUGGGAACUCAUGAUGUACAGCAGGCUGGCCUUGAACUCGGAGAUCUGCCUGACUCUGCCUCCCGAGAGCUGUUUUUAAAAAACUUAAAGGCAUGCACCACCAUGCCCAGGCUGGGACCCCAACCUGCAGUAGGGAAGAGGGAAGACGUGAUCUUGCUACAGCCACUUAGCAAACUAAUGACCUGUGCAAACUAACGUGGAAAGACUUCCUGUUUCAGAGUUUUGGAAACUAUUUUUAUUAUUAUGUGUAUGUGCUUGUGUGUGGGUUUAGGCCCAUGAAUGCAGGUGCUCUCAGAUGGCAGAGCCGUCAGGUCAGAUAGAUGUGGAGUUACAGGUGGUUGUAAGCCACCCAACUUGGUUGCUGGGACAAAACCUGAACUUAACCACUGAAGCGUCUCUCCAGCCCCACUUCUCCUUUUCUCCCUCUCCCAUCUCUUUCCUCAGGUCCCUCUAUCCCUCUUCCUCUUCACCCCUCUCUCAGUAGGGUCUGACUCAGGCUCAGACUAGCCGGGCAGGCUCACUGGUCUUGCUGCCUCAGCCUCCCAAAUGCUGGGAUUACAGCCGCUCCUGAAGCACUGGCGUUCUCUCUGCCGCUCUCCAAGAUGUCCAUUGCUUAGGCUGUGUCCCUAGACCCUGGCACCCUUUACUCUCAACACUGCUUCCCUGAGUUGCGUGUCUCCCACGGAAGACUAUGCGGUUUUGUCCAACACUGAGCUAGCUGCAGUGCUACCUUCGCCAGCACAACAUCCUGAAUGGGCCUAUCGUGGGCUCUACUCACAAGCUCUAUGAAAAGAAAAUCUGCCAGAAUAAGACCCAGAGGCAGAGGCUCUCAUUCCCCUCCCCGACCCAACUCGUCAUCCUCUACAUUCUUCUACCGGUUCUCAGACUUGGAUUCGGCCUCCGUGGACUCAGACCUGUAGGAUCUGCUCCCAAAAGAGGACGCCUUACUUUACCAAAGCAAGGACUAUAAUGACGACUGCGAUGAGGAGAGUUAUUUGACUCCCAGGACAUAUGGGGAGCCCAAGUCUGUGGGCAUGUCCAAGAGCUUCCACCAUCCGGGGACCUCACUUGCAGAUGGUCACUCUUUCCAACACCAGGUGCGUGAUAUUUUCUCUCCUUCAGGAGGACAAGGAUAGAGAACCCCACAUCUACGGCCGACACAGCGCCUACCAGAGCAUCUCACACUACCACCCCAUUUCCAGCGUCUCCAGGAGCUCCCUGGGCUUAUCCUUUAUCCUACAAUCUCCACCUCUUCUGUGACAUCCUCUUCGUCUUCUCCCUCUUCAUGGCUUACCCGCCGCGCCAUCAGGCCAGAAAAACAGGCCCCUGAUUCCCUGCACUGGACUGGUAUCACCAGGCCCCACUCUGGGACCAGCUAUUGCCCUUCCUGGUCUAUGCUGCCUGUCUGCUGUUUGUUUACUACGCCAUACAAGUUGAAGAACGCAACCCUUUCUGGAUGGAUCCCCGAGAGUAUGGUUUCAGAGCAGCUCUUCACAGUUUUGGCAGAUUGCCUUAGCGGUAUUUGCUGGGGGAGGAGUAGAUGUGGGCUUUUUGUGUUCUAGUUAGGGGAUGGAGGGCCUAGCCUAGGGCAGUGUUUAUAGCCCACCUCCUUCUGCUAAGGAGGAAGCAAAUGCUGGCCUUCCCAGUGGGCCCACGUGUACCUUCUUCUGGAGUCUCAUAGCCCUGUUGCCUCUGACCCUUAAGGCUCCAGGGGGAAAGAACCUCAUUUCUUUAGAGGAAAGCUUGGUGGUAGUUGUCAUACAUGCCUGUUUAUUGUCACCUUUUCAUGGUGUAUUAACCAAAGGCCUUUGUUUUCG